CUACGGGACGCUGCAGUAGGGAAUCUUCGGCAAUGGACGGAAGUCUGACCGAGCAACGCCGCGUGAGUGAAGAAGGUUUUCGGAUCGUAAAGCUCUGUUGUAAGAGAAGAACGAGUGUGAGAGUGGAAAGUUCACACUGUGACGGUAUCUUACCAGAAAGGGACGGCUAACUACGUGCCAGCAGCCGCGGUAAUACGUAGGUCCCGGCGUUGUCCGGAUUUAUUGGGCGUAAAGCGAGCGCAGGCGGUUAGAUAAGUCUGAAGUUAAAGGCUGUGGCUUAACCAUAGUACGCUUUGGAAACUGUUUAACUUGAGUGCAGAAGGGGAGAGUGGAAUUCCAUGUGUAGCGGUGACAUGCGUAGAUAUAUGGAGGAACACCGGUGGCGAAAGCGGCUCUCUGGUCUGUAACUGACGCUGAGGCUCGAGAGCGUGGGGAGCAAACAGGAUUAGAUACCCCUGUAGUC
rnacentral:rRNA from 1 species